UGCGUAGGCGGCUAUGCAAGUCAGGCGUGAAAUGUACGGGCUUAACCCGUGAACUGCGUUUGAAACUGCAUGGCUUGAGUAGAGUAGAGGCAGAUGGAAUUUCCGGUGUAGCGGUGAAAUGCGUAGAGAUCGGAAGGAACACCAGUGGCGAAGGCGAUCUGCUGGGCUCAAACUGACGCUGAGGCACGAAAGCAUGGGGAGCAAACA
rnacentral:rRNA from 1 species